rnacentral:rRNA from 1 species
GACGAACGCUGGCGGCGUGCUUAACACAUGCAAGUCGAACGGAAAGGCCCUUCGGGGUACUCGAGUGGCGAACGGGUGAGUAACACGUGGGCAACCUGCCCCUAGCUCUGGGAUAACACCGGGAAACCGGUGCUAAUACCGGAUACACACUUUUUGAGGCAUCUCAGAUGGUGGAAAGUUUUUCGGCUAGGGAUGGGCCCGCGGCCUAUCAGCUUGUUGGUGGGGUAAUGGCCUACCAAGGCGACGACGGGUAGCCGGCCUGAGAGGGCGACCGGCCACACUGGGACUGAGACACGGCCCAGACUCCUACGGGAGGCAGCAGUGGGGAAUAUUGCGCAAUGGGCGAAAGCCUGACGCAGCGACGCCGCGUGAGGGAUGACGGCCUUCGGGUUGUAAACCUCUUUCAGCUCUGACGAAGCGAAAGUGACGGUAGGAGCAGAAGAAGCACCGGCCAACUACGUG